UACGUAGGGUCCAAGCGUUAUCCGGAAUCACUGGGCGUAAAGCGUGCGUAGGCGGGAGUCUAAGUGAGAAAUUAAAUCGUGUGGCUCAACCAUAUCGAUGUUUCUCAUACUGGGCACCUAGAGGAAGGCAGAGGCAAGUGGAAUUAGUAAUGUAGCAGUGAAAUGCGUAGAGAUUACUAGGAACACCAAUGGCGAAGGCAGCUUGCUGGGCCUUUUCUGACGCUGAGGUACGAAAGCGUGGGGAGCGAACAGG
rnacentral:rRNA from 1 species